UCAGAGUUUGAUCCUGGCUCAGGACGAACGCUGGCGGCGUGCCUAACACAUGCAAGUCGAACGGGGAUUGCAGUAAUGUAAUCUUAGUGGCGGACGGGUGAGUAACGCGUGGGCAACCUACCUUUCACCGGGGGAUAACACAGGGAAACUUGUGCUAAUACCGCAUAAGAUCACAGGGGGACAUCCUCUAGUGAUCAAAGGGGUAAUCCAGUGAGAGAUGGGCCCGCGUCCGAUUAGCUAGUUGGCGGGGUAACGGCCCCCCAAGGCGACGAUCGGUAGCCGAACUGAGAGGUUGAUCGGCCCCAUUGGGACUGAGACACGGCCCAGACUCCUACGGGGGGCAGCAGUGGGGAAUAUUGCGCAAUGGGGGAAACCCUGACGCAGCAACGCCGCGUGAAGGAUGAAGGUUUUCGGAUUGUAAACUUUUUUGAUGAGGGACGAAACAAAUGACGGUACCUCAAAAACAAGCCCCGGCUAACUACGUGCCAGCAGCCGCGGUAAUACGUAGGUGGCGAGCGUUGUCCGGAAUUACUGGGUGUAAAGGGCGUGUAGGCGGGAAGACAAGUCAGAUGUGAAAUACCGAGGCUUAACCUCGGGGCUGCAUCUGAAACUGUUUUUUUUGAGUGUCGGGGAGGAAAGUGGAAUUCCCAGUGUAGCGGUGAAAUGCGUAGAUAUUGGGGGGAACACCAGUGGCGAAGGCGACUUUUUGGACGAUAACUGACGCUGAGGCGCGAAAGCGUGGGGGGCAAACAGGAUUAGAUACCCUGGUAGUCCCCGCUGUAAACGAUGGAUACUAGGUGUAGGGGGUAUCGACCCCUUUUGUGCCGGGGUUAACACAAUAAGUAUCCCCCCUGGGGGGGUACGGCCGCAAGGUUUGAAACUCAAAUGAAUUUGACGCC
rnacentral:rRNA from 1 species